rnacentral:rRNA from 1 species
CUACGGGUCGCUGCAGUAGGGAAUAUUGCACCAUGGGCGAAAGCCUGAUGCAGCAACGCCGCGUGAGCGAUGAAGGCCCUCGGGUCGUAAAGCUCUUUUCAAGGGGAAGAGGAAGGACGGUACCCUUGGAAUAAGUCUCGGCUAACUACGUGCCAGCAGCCGCGGUAAAACGUAGGAGGCGAGCGUUAUCCGGAUUUACUGGGCGUAAAGCGCGUGUAGGCGGUACAGCAAGUUGGAUGUGAAAGCUCCUGGCUUAACUGGGAGAGGUCGUUCAAAACUGCUGAACUAGAGUACGGUAGAGGAAAAUGGAAUUCCGGGUGUAGUGGUGAAAUGCGUAGAUAUCCGGAGGAACACCAGAGGCGAAAGCGAUUUUCUGGACCGAAACUGACGCUCAGACGCGAAAGCUAGGGUAGCAAACGGGAUUAGAUACCCGUGUAGUC